AUUGAACGCUGGCGGCAGGCCUAACACAUGCAAGUCGAGCGGAUGAAGGGAGCUUGCUCCUGGAUUCAGCGGCGGACGGGCGAGUAAUGCCUAGGAAUCUGCCUGGUCGUGGGGGAUAACGUCCGGAAACGGGCGCUAAUACCGCAUACGUCCUGAGGGAGAAAGUGGGGGAUCUUCGGACCUCACGCUACCAGAUGAGCCUAGGUCGGAUUAGCUAGUUGGUUAGGUAAAGGCCUACCAAGGCGACGAUCCGUAACUGGUCUGAGAGGCUGAUCAGUCACACUGGAACUGAGACACGGUCCAGACUCCUACGGGAGGCAGCAGUAGGGAAUAUUGGACAAUGGGCGAAAGCCUGAUCCAGCCAUGCCGCGUGUGUGAAGAAGGUCUUCGGAUUGUAAAGCACUUUAAGUUGGGAGGAAGAGCAGUGAGUUAAUACCUUGCUGUUUUGACGUUACCAGCAGAAUAAGCACCGGCUAACUUCGUG
rnacentral:rRNA from 1 species